rnacentral:misc_RNA from 1 species
GAUGAAGAACGUAGCGAAAUGCGAUAAGUAGUGUGAAUUGCAGAAUUCCGUGAAUCAUCGAAUCUUUGAACGCACAUUGCGCCUUCUGGUAUUCCGGAAGGCGUGCCUGUUCGAGAGUCAUUAACAACCGUUUCGAUCCCUUUCUUUCAGAAAUUACAAAGAGGAAAAGGGUUUGGUUAUGGUGGAGGAGGGAAAGGGAGCGUUUAGCCUGUAAAAAAAGAGGCUGUGUUCCGCCUCCCCCCCAAAAUUGUACAGGCGGUCGUGUGCGCCCACGCAUCGAGGUGUUGUAAAAGCUGCCACGGCACUUUUCACCUGUGCAGUGCGAGAUUGGCCAGCCGGUUUAAAAACCCCUCCAAACAAUCAAAGGUUGACCUCGGAUCAGGUAGGGAUACCCGCUGAACUUAAGCAUAUCAAUAAGCGGGGA